rnacentral:rRNA from 1 species
AUGAUGGUCCUAAGUUGGAACUAUCGGGGACUUGGGCAACCCUGGAUAGUCCAAGAGCUUGUAUGCCUUGUGCAUACGUACAAACUCAAGAUGGUGUUCCUUUAUGAAACACGGCAAAGCACCUCGUACAUUAAUAGUUUGAAGUGGAGGCUUGGCCUCAAACAUUGUAUUGCGCAGCCGAGCAUUGGGAAAAGUGCCGACAUCGCGCUAUUCUGUGAUGAAAAUGUGGAAGAAAUAAAGCUUGCCGUUGGCCCGAGGUAUAUCAAUGUACUGAUCCGGUUGAGUCCAAAUGGGAUACAAUGGCAUGGUACAUUUGUUUACGGUGAACCGAAGGCACACGAAUACAUAAUAUGUGGGAUCUUUUGCGUAGAAUCAAACCUAACUCUAGUGCCCCCUGGAUGA